GGUUAGUCGGGGCCAGGCGCGGUGGUAAGACGGGGGGGGCAAGGGUUAAUGGGAAGUACUGGGCGUAAAGCGUGCGCAGGCGGCUUAUUAAGUCAGAUGUGAAAUCCCUAGGCUCAACCUAGGAACUGCAUUUGAAACUAAUAAACUAGAGUAUCGUAGAGGGAGGUAGAAUUCCAGGUGUAGCGGUGAAAUGCGUAGAUAUCUGGAGGAAUACCAGUGGCGAAGGCGACCUCCUGGACGAAAACUGACGCUCAAGCACGAAAGCAUGGGGAGCAAACAGGAUUAGAUACCCUUGUAGUC
rnacentral:rRNA from 1 species